UCUGUGACAAAGAUUAUCCAGAGAAGCCACCAAGUGUACGAUUUCAUACACGCAUCAAGAUGACUUGUGUCAAUCAUGAAACUGGAGUGGUUGAUUCAAAGAAGUUUGGAAUGCUGGCAAAUUGGCAGCGGGAUUUCACCAUGGAAAACAUAUUGAUGCAGCUGAAGAAGGAAAUGACAGCCUCACACAACCGGAAGCUUGUCCAACCACCCGAAGGUACAUAUUUCUAAUGGGAGGCAACUUUGAAGAUUGUCACUGAUCUGUUGAAACGAUGGAUUGGCAUAGGCUGAAUCUCUUUUAUACAUGUACAAUAUUUCCAUUAUUGACAACUUAAGAUAUUUCCAUUAUGGACAACUAGAGGAAAGAAUGGAAAAGUGGUCCUCAAGCUCUUUAGUGUCACUCUCCUCUAUUGUUUUUCUUUUGGAUGAUUCUUGUUUAAACAUUUCUUAUUGAGAAUUUUAUCCAUGUAUUGAGUGAAAUGCAAUUAAAAUCAGUUAUGGAGUGCUAAUUUUCUGAUACAGCUCAUCCAGAAUUCAUAUUUCUGCAAGAACCAGCUAUUGUUCUCUCUAUUCCUCGAUGUACAUUUGUAUUGUUCUCUCUUUUCUGUACUUUAUUUAAUCAUUGUUUUUUUUUACUUGGCAGAACAGAUGCUCAACUUAAGUUGCUAGUAGCUGCUGGCAUGUUUAAAUGUUAAAGUUUUUAACAGGUUGAGGACUAGCAAAAGAAAGAUCAAAAGGCCAAUAAAGUACAUUAACUACCGGGAUUAUACACGGUAAUUACUUUUGCUUAUGUCCUAAGUUUGGGAUCAUAGAGAUUACAUUUCGAAAUAUGACUGCUCUACAAGGGCAAAUCACAUAGUUCCAGAUGGAACUUUGUUUUGCUUCUUUCUUUUGCCUCUGCCAAAAUUCAUGAUUUGCCUUAAGAAAAUCUGUCUUAGUUAUUAUGGUAUAGGUGAUAUGUGGGCUGAGUUUCAAAUAAGUUUAUAGCUUAGAAAAUGGAAUCAAUAAUACUGUGGUAUGGUAUUUAUGCAAUUGAGAACUUUCUAUGAAAAGGCUAGAAGGUUUUUGGUGCCAUGCCCUCUACUUAUUACGUUCUAACUUUUGCUUGUGUUUCCAAACAACUGAUCUUGUAAGCUUUUUCACUAAUAAUUUGCUUACUGUCUCCAACUGUGUGUGAUUCAAAUUCAUUUAUAUACAUGUGGGAAUUUGAUUUUGUCUACCCCAUAAAGAAAAUGCAGUAAUAUAAGUUCUCUUCUUAGUUGAAUUGAGUGGUAAAGCAUAUAUUUCUUCUUUGUUAAUUGAUAUUAUGCAAUCUUGACAAGAUUGGACAGCUAUCUACAACAAUAUUGUUGAUUUUCUGGUAUAGGUCUUGUGAUUGAAGACUGAAUUUUCUGCUUUAGUCAUAUUGUUGAUUUUCUGAAACUAUUGUAAUGUUGGUACUUCUACGCAUCAAUUUUAGCUUCAUGAGUAUUAAAAACUAAAAAGACAUGCUAAGCAGCAGCUUGAGUUUCUUCAGGUGUUUCCUCUUCGUCAUCAGUCUAUAUACAUGUUCCAUGCUCAUGAUGCUCCUCUAGUUUUGUAGAUAAACUACAUUUAGGUGGUUCCAGACUUCCAGUGUUAUCUGAUCAUGAAAGUCCUACUGUAGGUGGAGGGUUCCCCUGUACAUUACUUAAUGAAUGUUGUGUUAUUUGUUUUCUUUAGAUAAAGAUCUGUACAUUUGUAUGUAUGUCUAUUGUCAUCUAGGAUUAGAGAAGAUUAGAAUGUAUAACUAGGAAUUAGUUACUAGAAUGUGCUUGUAGUCAAG